UGGGCUUGAAAAGUACUUGUGUGUGCAUACCUUAUAUGUAAAAAUUAGAGGUUCCGGUGAUAUACUAAUCAUGUGUCAAGCAACAAACCCUAGCAUGAUUGAAGAAUUCAAACGAGCAAUAGCGAAAAAGUUUAAUAUGAUCGAUUUGGAAAUGAUAACAUAUUUCUUGGGAUUGAGAUUGUGAAAAGCUAAGAUGGAAUUUUUCUCUUUCAAAAGAGAUAUGC
rnacentral:lncRNA from 1 species